AGAACAGAGGAAGGAAAGAUUUGCACAAUAGAAUCCUGUCACACUAGACGUUCCCUUACGAAGUGAGACACAACUUUGGAUGUCUUCAUCGGGUGCGGCAUUUUGUGGUAAUGGUAUAGUAUAGUCGGGGGAGCAGUGUGAUUGCAGAUAUAAGGAUGAGUGUACAGACAGGUGCUGCCACCCUCGGAGCAGAGACCCAAACGACAAACUGAUGUGUACAUACAGAGAUCCGUCAUUUAAAUGCAGUCCAACAGAAGGCCCGUGUUGUACUGAGAGUUGUAAUUAUAAACCAGUUAAUACCUUUACCUGUCUUGUAUUCUUUGUAGUCCAACAGAAGACCCAUGUUGUACUGAGAGUUGUAAUUAUAAACCAGCUAAUACCUCUACCUGUCUUGUAUUCUUUGUAGUCCAACAGAAGACCCAUGUUGUACUGAGAGUUGUAAUUGUAAACCAGCUAAUACCUCUACCUGUCUUGUAUUCUUUGUAGUCCAACAGAAGACCCAUGUUGUACUGAGAGUUGUAAUUAUAAACCAGCUAAUACCUCUA